ACGCUAGCGGCAGGCCUAAUACAUGCAAGUCGACGGGAUCCAUCGGAGAGCUUGCUCGAAGAUGGUGAGAGUGGCGCACGGGUGCGUAACGCGUGAGCAACCUACCUCUAUCAGGGGGAUAGCCUCUCGAAAAGAGAGAUUAACACCGCAUAACAUCAACAGUUCGCAUGUUCGGUUGAUUAAAUAUUUAUAGGAUAGAGAUGGGCUCGCGUGACAUUAGCUAGUUGGUAGGGUAACGGCUUACCAAGGCGACGAUGUCUAGGGGCUCUGAGAGGAGAAUCCCCCACACUGGUACUGAGACACGGACCAGACUCCUACGGGAGGCAGCAGCAAGGAAUAUUGGUCAAUGGGCGGAAGCCUGAACCAGCCAUGCCGCGUGCAGGAUGACUGCCCUAUGGGUUGUAAACUGCUUUUGUCCAGGAAUAAACCUAAAUACGUGUAUUUAGCUGAAUGUACUGGAAGAAUAAGGAUCGGCUAACUCCGUG
rnacentral:rRNA from 1 species